rnacentral:rRNA from 1 species
UAUUGGGCAAUGGAGGAAACUCUGACCCAGCAACGCCGCGUGAAUGAUGAAGGUCUUCGGAUUGUAAAGUUCUUUUCUAAGGGAAGAAGAAAGUGACGGUACCUUCGGAAUAAGCCUCGGCUAACUACGUGCCAGCAGCCGCGGUAAUACGUAGGAGGCAAGCGUUAUCCGGAAUGACUGGGCGUAAAGGGUGCGUAUGUGGUUUGACAAGUUGGUAGCGUAACUCCGAGGCUCAACCUCGGCACUACUACCAAAACUGUUGGACUCGAGUGCAGGAGGGGCAAAUGGAAUUCCUAGUGUAGCGGUGGAAUGCGUAGAUAUUAGGAGGAACACCAGUGGCGAAGGCGAUUUGCUGGACUGUAACUGACACUGAGGCACGAAAGCGUGGGGAGCAAACAGG